UGGACCAGUGAUGAUAGUUGGUGGCGUAUGAGUCAUGGAUGAUGAAUAUGAUGUGUCUGAAACUCUGAGGCCCAA
ensembl:snoRNA